CCGAGAUCGGAUAUCGCACUUUCCACCGGGGAUGCCGCGUAUGGGAGUGGUCUUGAAAUGUACCGGGUCGAUGUAACUAUUAUUGAAUGGUUGAUGGAAAGAUAGUCCUGAUCAUAGAUGGUGUCAAUCCAGUAACGUCGACUUUCUACGGUGCAGUUCACCAGAUCGUUCUCCAGAGUAGGGUUGUUCGGUAUCACAGCCCGAAGAGGUGGUAAACUCCAUCUAAAGCUAAAUAUGUCCCCGAGUCCGAUAGCAAACAAGUACCGUGAGGGAAAGUUGAAACAGAACUUUUGAAAGAGAGUUAAAUAGUACGUGAAACCGUCGCGGGCUUAUAAAGCGAAUGGAC
rnacentral:rRNA from 1 species